rnacentral:rRNA from 1 species
AGAGUUUGAUCCUGGCUCAGAACGAACGCUGGCGGCAGGCCUAACACAUGCAAGUCGAGCGCGCCCUUCGGGGUGAGCGGCGGACGGGUGAGUAACGCGUGGGAACGUACCCUCUUCUGCGGAAUAGCCACUGGAAACGGUGAGUAAUACCGCAUACGCCCUUCGGGGGAAAGAUUUAUCGGAGGAGGAUCGGCCCGCGUUGGAUUAGGUAGUUGGUGGGGUAAUGGCCUACCAAGCCUACGAUCCAUAGCUGGUUUUAGAGGAUGAUCAGCCACACUGGGACUGAGACACGGCCCAGACUCCUACGGGAGGCAGCAGUGGGGAAUCUUAGACAAUGGGCGCAAGCCUGAUCUAGCCAUGCCGCGUGAGUGACGAAGGCCUUAGGGUCGUAAAGCUCUUUCGCCUGUGA